rnacentral:lncRNA from 1 species
CUGCACAGCUGAGUUCGUCAGGGACGAACAGAGGGCGACGCAGGAGAUUGCAGGGCGGCUCCGACGGGGCUCUUUGCCGGCGGGCUGGGUAGAUCCGGUCAAGGGGGUCCCAUUUCCGAGCUCGAUGACGACUCCGGUCACCGGCAGCCGUAGAUCGAGGCACGGCUUGAAGGACCUCGGCGCCUCCAUGGCUGCUCCUGAUUGCAAUGGGAGAGAAAGAGAAUAUUAGAGAGAGGAGGAGGAGCAAGAAGGAGAUGGGGAGGCGAGAGGAUCUGGCCUCGGAGGUCAACGGCGGCGGCCGGAGCUCCUGGAGGCGGCGGGGUCGACGAGGCGCUGGGGCACGGGGAGCACGGGGCCAUGGAAGGACGGGCUCGGUCGUGGCGGGCUGUUGCUUGGAGACAGCGGCAUUUGAAGAUGCACGGGCUGCUGCUGCUGCAGACUUGGCAAAGCUUGGACGUAGUUGGCCUUCCUCGAGGCCGAGGAAGAGCUCGGGCUCCUGGUUGCUGCUUGCGCACGGACGAAG